rnacentral:rRNA from 1 species
CAUAGGUUAAUGAGGCGAACCGGGGGAACUGAAACAUCUAAGUACCCCGAGGAAAAGAAAUCAACCGAGAUUCCCCCAGUAGCGGCGAGCGAACGGGGAGCAGCCCAGAGCCUGAAUCAGUGUGUGUGUUAGUGGAAGCGUCUGGAAAGGCGCGCGAUACAGGGUGACAGCCCCGUACACAAAAAUGCACAUGCUGUGAGCUCGAUGAGUAGGGCGGGACACGUGGUAUCCUGUCUGAAUAUGGGGGGACCAUCCUCCAAGGCUAAAUACUCCUGACUGACCGAUAGUGAACCAGUACCGUGAGGGAAAGGCGAAAAGAACCCCGGCGAGGGGAGUGAAAAAGAACCUGAAACCGUGUACGUACAAGCAGUGGGAGCACGCUUAGGCGUGUGACUGCGUACCUUUUGUAUAAUGGGUCAGCGACUUAUAUUCUGUAGCAAGGUUAACCGAAUAGGGGAGCCGAAGGGAAACCGAGUCUUAACUGGGCGUUAAGUUGCAGGGUAUAGACCCGAAACCCGGUGAUCUAGCCAUGGGCAGGUUGAAGGUUGGGUAACACUAACUGGAGGACCGAACCGACUAAUGUUGAAAAAUUAGCGGAUGACUUGUGGCUGGGGGUGAAAGGCCAAUCAAACCGGGAGAUAGCUGGUUCUCCCCGAAAGCUAUUUAGGUAGCGCCUCGUGAAUUCAUCUCCGGGGGUAGAGCACUGUUUCGGCAAGGGGGUCAUCCCGACUUACCAACCCGAUGCAAACUGCGAAUACCGGAGAAUGUUAUCACGGGAGACACACGGCGGGUGCUAACGUCCGUCGUGAAGAGGGAAACAACCCAGACCGCCAGCUAAGGUCCCAAAGUCAUGGUUAAGUGGGAAACGAUGUGGGAAGGCCCAGACAGCCAGGAUGUUGGCUUAGAAGCAGCCAUCAUUUAAAGAAAGCGUAAUAGCUCACUGGUCGAGUCGGCCUGCGCGGAAGAUGUAACGGGGCUAAACCAUGCACCGAAGCUGCGGCAGCGACGCUUAUGCGUUGUUG